rnacentral:rRNA from 1 species
AUUGAACGCUGGCGGCAGGCUUAACACAUGCGAGUCGAGCGAGUGGCGGACGGGUGAGUAAUGCCUGGGAAUCUAGCUUAUGGAGGGGGAUAACUACGGGAAACUGUAGCUAAUACCGCGUACCAUCGGAUGUGCCCAAGUGGGAUUAGGUAGUUGGUGGGGUAAAGGCUCACCAAGGCGACGAUCCCUAGCUGGUCUGAGAGGAUGACCAGCCACACUGGGACUGAGACACGGCCCAGACUCCUACGGGAGGCAGCAGUGGGGAAUAUGGCGCAAUGGGGGCAACCUGACGCAGCCAUGCCGCGUGAAUGAAGAAGGCCUUCGGGUUGUAAAGUUCUUUCGGUGAGGAGGCGUUAACUACAGAAGAAGCACCGGCUAACUCCGUGCCAGCAGCCGCGGUAAUUC